CACGUAUUUAGCCGGGGCUUCUUGGUCAGGUACCGUCAAUGUCUUCCCUGCUGGCAGAGCUUUACAUACCGAAGUACUCCAUCGCUCACGCGGCGUCGCUGCAUCAGGGUUGCCCCCAUUGUGCAAUAUCCCCCACUGCUGCCUCCCGUAGGAGUCUGGGCCGUGUCUCAGUCCCAAUGUGGCCGCCCACCUCUCAGGCCGGCUACUGAUCGUCGCCUUGGUGGGCCGUUACCCCGCCAACAAGCUAAUCAGACGCGGACCCAUCCCGCACCGCCUGGGCUUUCCGCACAGCCCCAUGCGGGGCCGUGCGGCACUAUGCGGUAUUAGCAGCCGUUUCCGGCUGUUGUCCCCCAGUGCGGGUAGGUUGUCCACGCGUUACUCACCCGUCCGCCACUCAGUCACAGGGGCUUCCUUCCGAAGAAAUUCCGCCCAGCGCUUCGUUCCGACUUGCAUCGUGUUAGGCACGCCGCCACGCGUUCAUCCUGUAGCCAGGAUCGUAAACUCUCG
rnacentral:rRNA from 1 species